rnacentral:rRNA from 1 species
UUGCUAUGAUAACAAUUAGUGGCAGACGGGUGAGUAAUGCAUAGGAAUCUACCUAGUAGUAUGGGAUAGCCACUAGAAAUGGUGGGUAAUACUGUAUAAUCCCUGCGGGGGAAAGAUUUAUCGCUAUUAGAUGAGCCUAUGUUAGAUUAGCUAGUUGGUAGGGUAAAGGCCUACCAAGGCAGUGAUCUAUAGCUGGUCUGAGAGGAUGAUCAGCCACACUGGAACUGAGAUACGGUCCAGACUCCUACGGGAGGCAGCAGUGGGGAAUAUUGGACAAUGGGCGCAAGCCUGAUCCAGCUAUGCCGCGUGAGUGAGGAAGGCCUUAGGGUUGUAAAACUCUUUCAGUGGGGAAGAUAAUGACGGUACCCACAGAAGA